AUUUUUAACGGUAUCGAUUUGUCAUAAUACUUCGUCUGUGAUUGCAGUAUUAUUGCAAAACUAUAAUUAAUAGUUGAAAUUAAAUUUUAAUAUGAAAUUGCAAAUAAAUUGCAAAAUGUUAAUAUAUCGACAGAAAUCGAUUAUAUUUUUAUUGGAUGAUUUCUAAUUCUAAAAAGAAAUAAAAAUAUGUUGAUUGUUGUUUUUCAAGAAGUUAAUUAAACAAGAUAAAAAUAUAUAACAUAAUUUAAUAGCUAUUAUCAUUCUCUACUAUAUAAAAAAUAUAAUAUAGAAAUAUUUAUAGAAUGAUUUUAAAAUUGAAAAUAAUAUAUUUUUUUAAAAAUAAUAAAUUUAAUAAAUGAUAAAUUAUAUUAUAAAUAAAAAAUUUUUAAAUAUAUAAUAUUAAAUAAAGUUAAUAAAUCAUAAUAUCAAAAAUCAUUAUACGACUCUUAAAUAAAGAAAUUAUAAAAUUAAUUAAAAAUAUUAAUAAAAUAUUGAAAAUUAUAAUAUUUAAAUAUAUCAUAUUUUAAAAUAUUCGUUUACUAAAAAUCAUCUAUUUUUUAAAUAGUUCGUUGCUAUGCUCCAUCUUGUCCACUGAGCGAAAGUUACCGAGUGAGAAAAAACUACAAAAGUUUAGUUCCAUUGCGACCGUGAUAUCGUUUGGAUUACUCGAGUUCAAUUUAUAUAUAAUUUAUAUUCAUACACGAAUUUUAUUAUAUAAAGUAUGCAUGUGUGAUUCGUAAGUGUUUAAAUAUAUUCAUUAGUAUGUGUGAUAAUUUUGUAAUUUUGUGAAAUAUUGGUAUAUUUCAUCGAUAUUACGAACGGAUGAAAAACUGUUGUUGGAUCAUUAUCUAUAAACGAUAAAUCACCUGCAUUCUACUAUAGAAUUAUUUUCGGAAAAGUAUCAAGAGAUGGCGCUGAUGGUUUUAUCCUAUUUCUAUCCUUUAUUUGCUAUUUUUUUUUAUUUCAUUUACGGCAUUUUAGAUAUGACGCUGAUUUCUUAAUUUGUACUCUAUUUCUGGCUGUUCUGUUUAUUCUUCUCAUCUAUAUUUAUUCUUGAAUAUUUAUUCGUGUGAUUUUAAUUGUAUACGUUUUCAUUUUACAAAAUUAUAAAGUGUUCUAAUCUUUAAUGAAUAAAAAUAUAGAUUAUUAUAUUCUCAUAGCUUCUACUUUACAAUGUAUUUUGCAAAAUAUAAUAUAUCCUAUAUAUAUAAAUACAAAUAUUUUGAGAAAUACAUAUUUAAUUAUGUAUAAAAUGCAUAUGCAAAUAAAUAUUAUAUAUGUAUCUAAAACAUAUUCUGUAAUAGAAUAUUUUUAUUUCUGAUUCCUAAUUUUGAAAUUGAAUUUCAAUUCGCAUCAUUAUUAACAUUGCAAUCCAUUUUUGAAACAUUCAAAUUUAGAACAUUAAGAAUAAGAAAAAUAAUUCUAUAAUCUUUUCAAGAUAUAAUAUAAAAAAAUUUUCUAUCUAUUUGUUCCGAAAUCAAGAAACAAAUGAUCUCAUGAUUCAUACAUAUUAUCAAUAAGAUACAAAAUUCUGAUACAAAUAAAAUUCAGUAGACUUAAUUUAAUGCACAAACGUGUAAUACAAAGAAUCAUUAAUUAUUUUGAUAUUGCAGAUACAGAACUGGUCUGUGCUCGAGUGCACAAAUCUGGAACCUUAAAUAUAAAUUAAAACGACUAUGAUUCAUGGAGUCAAAAUAUUAAUUUAUAUAAUCAUUAUGGUAUUAUGCACAAAGAAAUUCAUAUUUUCGGUCUCUUUAUUCUUUGUGAAAAAUCAUUUUUGUUCGAUAUUCAAUAAAUAUUAAUUCCAUAUUUCGACUAACAAUAUCUCGAUUCAUUCAAUAAUAGAUAGUUCAUAUAAUACGAAUCAUAUUAUAUAAUCAUAUAAUUAUAUUCAAUGUAGCUAUUAUUUAUGCAUGGAAAACAAUCAGUCUAUAGAGAUCAUAGAAUCAACACCUGGACUAGAUCUUUUGUUAUUAUUGUUUCAUCAGCUUUUUUUUAUUUUUUUUAAUUUUACUAAUUAAUUCAUUAUAAAUGCCAUUAUUCAUCGAUUUUCGAAAUAAAAUUUUCUAAGUUUUUAUACUUUACGAAGAUAUUAUCAUAGACGAAAUUUACUAUUAAUCUACGUUAUUCUAAGGUAAAAGAAUAUCUAAUAUUAGUGACUUUUUAAAAAAUUAAUCGAUUCAUAUAUUUGUCAAAUAUUAAAUAAUUCGAUUCAUUUGUUGCUACGCAAGAAUCGUCACGAACGCCGGCUGUCGUACGAGCAGAUUGCAAGCACCUGUCCACCAGAAAAUAUCCACCGGUGGAUAUUCACAACGAAGCUGCCACGGCAGAAGGUUUGUCAGCUGCUACCGCAGCUGAGGUAACUGAUCGUCUUUGCUCGAGAUGACGAUAAUACAGAUCAACGAAUUUACUUUCUAUCUUCCGCGUGGACCGUGCGCGUUUCGUUCUCAAAUUUCUUCACCGCCUGCCACUACAAUCCACAGAUUUUUCAAUCUUUCGAUCAUUCUCUUAGUCUACAUAUUUUCUAUGUAGAUUGUAUUUCGUCAUUAAACGGUCGAAUGAACCUAAUACAUAUUGUUUUCUAACCUAUAUGCGUCCAAGGAAUUGAUCAUCGUUGAUCGAUUUUAGACAAAAUCCGUAUGUUGAUCGAAAAAUAUUUUAUCUUUUAUAUUGAAUAACUUUUUUUCUUUUAUGAUAAUAAUUUCAAUAAUCAUCGACAAAUAAGGAUAUCUAUUAAAAUAGAAAGAAAAAUAAAUAAAGAAAUAUAAAAAAGUAAAAAAAA